rnacentral:lncRNA from 1 species
CCAUCCAUACUAAGCAGAACCCUCGAGGAACCAUGCUCUUUCUACUGUGGGAGCUUCUCUAACCGAUAAACCACCACUAUGAAUCUGAGUGGUGAUACAACGUUUUACCUCACGUUGCCCAAGGACCAUCCUAUACCUUGCCAUCGAUAUAGGACCUUACUUUAACUUUUGCUUAAUGGAUCCACUAGCUUAACUUUCGUGAUCAUCUAAAAAGUAUGACCCGAGAAAUCCCAUGUUUGGCUACAUGGUUCUAUGGGGGCUGUGAGUUCUUUGAACGCUCCCCCAAUUCGGUGUUCAAGACUACUCCCAAAAAUACUUUAGCUCAUAAGUGUUUUAAACACAUCUUUCUUUAGUUGAGAUAAUUACUCAAAACUUAGCCCGAAGGCACUUAAAAACUCUUUUUAAAAAUAACAAAUCAAAACCAUAUUUUUAAUAUGAUCAUUGAUGACUCGGGAUAUUCAUACUGCUUAAACAUUGAUGGUAUAUCUAGAGACCAUACUGUUUAAACAUUGAUGACAUACUCGAUUUGUCAUAUCUAAUCAUAUUUUAGAAACUCUUUUGAAAAACUCAUCUUUUCUUUUU